GAUGAACGCUGGCGGCGUGCCUAAUACAUGCAAGUCGAGCGAACAGACGUGGCGCUUGCUCCUCUGACGUUAGCGGCGGACGGGUGAGUAACACGUGGAUAACCUACCUAUAAGACUGGGAUAACUUCGGGAAACCGGAGCUAAUACCGGAUAAUAUAUUGCACCGCAUGGUUCAAUAGUGAAAGACGGUUUUGCUGUCACUUCUAGAUGGAUCCGCGCCGCAUUAGCUAGUUGGUAAGUUAACGGCCUACCAAGGCAACGAUGCGUAGCCGACCUGCGAGAGUGAUCGGCCACACUGGAACGGAGACACGGACCAGACUCCUACGGGAGGCAGCAGUAGGGAAUCUUCCGCAAUGGGCGAGAGCCUUACGGAGCAACGCCGCGUGAGUGAUGAAGGUCUUCGGAUCGUAAAACUCUGUUAUUAGGGAAGAACAAAUGUGUAAGUAACUAUGCACGUCUUGACGGUACCUAAUCAGAAAGCCACGGCUAACUACGUG
rnacentral:rRNA from 1 species